GUCUGGCGGGAAAUUUCGCCUGGGAGGGAAGUGCGUAGUCGGCUUUGUCUGUGCGGUUCUAUCCAAGCUGGGAAACAAGAUCGGUCCCAUGAUGCGUGUUUUCUGCUUGCCCUGUUGAUAAUUUUAUUGUCUCCAGGGCAACCGAAUUGUUGGUGAAACCCUUGUGCAUCCCACGGCGUUUUUGCCGUGGCACCGCACRCGGGUGUUGUCGGCUCUUACGGAUGCUGUGUCCACGAUAAGUUCUGUAGGCCACUGGUCCACAGGCUUUGAAAGGUCCCUUGUACGGAUCAUUAGUCCGUCGAUCGCCCGUCAUGUUGGUUCUGCCUUCAUGCCGGAGCGGUGCGUGGGUUGCCUCUCUGACCGAAUGAGCAGCGAUUGUCGGCUAG
rnacentral:misc_RNA from 1 species